rnacentral:lncRNA from 1 species
UAAAACAGAAGAAGUCUCCCUCAAAGAAAUCCUUACAUUUAUUUGUCAUAUAUCCUUGGAUUCCACUUGGCUGUGACUUUCUCAGAGCGCUGGUCAGGUAUUUUGUAGACUUAUAUAGAAUGUGCCUGAUGAAUUAUGAGAAGGACUACAGAGGAUUGUUUUGGGGCUCCUGCAUAAGAGAAAUAUUAAAAAGGUGAAAUGGUAGCACUGCAAUAUGAGGGGAGAAAUAGAGAAAAAAUGAUUUCAAGCCUCUUAUGGGAGAAUGAUUUGUUUGUUUGACAGAAAUGAGAUUGCUCUAAGAGAUUAACCUAGGAAGCAAUGGAGUCAGGAAGGAAGCUGAGACCAGAAAAUGAAGAUUCUGAAGUAAAUGGGUACUUGCUCUGACCAAGAUCGAAACCCACCUCUCCCCAGGGAAUAUUGGAAGAGGGCAUGGAAGACAAGCAUUGGAAAAGUAGAAUGUUUUUGCUUUUCUUUCUGGUGGACUGCAUUAAAUAUUCAGCAAAAGGAGGGAUCAAUUUACAUUACUCUUCUUGUUUCUCAUGUAUCGACUGACAGGUGCUGUAAACAUACAUAGACAAACAUAGUCCUAAGCUUGCAGUGCUCUGGUGACCAAGGGAAGACAGGCUUCAGUCUCCCAAAGUGAUCACACUGAGAAUUUAGCAGACACACUAUGCUCAGCUUGGAGCAUCCAUUCUAUUCCCACAAAACAAUAGGAGCUUGCCUUUCAGCUGUGAUUCUCAAGAAAACCCAUUCAGAGAAAUGGUUUUGUUGCACUGAUGAGUUACUAAGGUAGAACAAUCUUGUUUUGAUUCUGGAGACUUAACUGAAACCUUCACUAGUAUUUUUGAAAUAAUAGCAGCAAGAACCUAAGAGGCACCCUUGUCUUCUAAACAUCUUGCUUUGCUGGUGGUAAAACGCCAAUUCACAGCUCCUCGAUUUCACCAAGGGUGGAAGCCCAGCCACCAGGGAUAAAGAACCGACCUUGGCUUUGAGGUGAGAACCAGUAUUUAAAGGAUUCACUGAUUCAUGUUCUAGAGAUGUCAUGGUAAAUAAAUUAUGACUGUUUAUACUGAAAACUAAGAGGCUCCUUAUUCUACACUAUAGGCAGCGAUUUGGCUGAGAUUGUCUCAUUCUGUGAUACUAUCACACACUACCUUUUUUCUCACUUGAAUUGUACUUUUGGCUGUCAUUUGCGCUUUUGAAUAAAGGUUUGCAUUAGUGGAAGAUAUCAUAAUAGCAUAUCUCCUUUUCCUGAGUUGAUAUACAAAUCAAAAAGAAAGGAUAAGGCCAAGACUCCCUUUGUCCUUGGGAAAGUAUGCCAUCUGCAUUUAGCUUAUGAUAUUCGGCUGGGAACAAAAUUCUAGCAUAAGGAAGUCGUUAAUACAACCCUCAACUUACACUGUAAAUUCAAAGUACUUUAAAUGCCUUAUAAUAGUCAAAGCCAGUAAAAUCGACCCUGUAUAUUUUUAUUUCAUCUCUGUUGGAUCAUAUGAUAUUUAAUAAUUGGUUCUGGCACCUCGUUGCAAAUUAUUAUAACUUUGAGAUUCAACAGUCCUAUUGAACAUAUGGGCAGCACAGCCUCAGAACAUAUAUAUGAUACAGCCUCUUGAGAGGACCUUCUGUCUUGUUUUCCUUAGCUUGGAAGGGUCAGAUAAAUUUUGCUGUGUCGUCAUGUGCUAAGAUUCCUCAAUCUCUGUUUUGCAGGGUAAAAGCUUAAUGGAACUGAUUUUUUUUUUUUCUGCCUUAACUGUGAACACUUCCUAUGCAAAGCCAAAAGAGAAAUUCGUGCAUCUGGGAUGCAGUUUAGUGGGCUCUUACUAAAGCAGAUAUAAAGCUAUUCCAGUACCAGUGUACAAGUAUUCAUCAACCCAGAAUAGGUUCUCUAACUUAGUGCCAUAUUGUAUCCUGGUUUAGCAGCAAACUACAAGAGUUUCUGGAGUCAGGAGACCUUCCCAUGCUAUUAAAGCAUAUGAUGUUUCUUUACUAAUCCUGGAGAAGAUGGAAAGUUGACGAUAAAAUACAGUUGACCCCAAGAAACCUUUCAUAUAGUUAGAUAUUCUCCCUUCACUAUUUCCUUUUUCCAGCUCCACUCUCAGUAUCACCCUGAGACAAUGUUAGGAAAAGCAAUUCUGCAUCAACAGCCCAUUAAGGUUAUUUUCAAAGUUCCUGCUGCUUUGCCUCUAUAUCUAGCCUGUGUGCCUUGACUCGCACUUGUAUUAUUUCACAUUAAUUGCCAUAUUGUUUAUUGCCAUAUUCAAACAUGUUAUAAUAUGGGCACAGUGGCGAUAAUUACAUAGUUAGCUGUCCUUAAAAAGAGAUGUCAAGAUGGAUAGUGGUGGGUGGGGUAGGCAGAAGGUUAUGAUUUAUACCUUUUGUUGACAUUGUGGAACAGAGCUGGUUCAAUUUCUCUUGAUUUCACUGUAAUGCCUAAUACUAAAAUUUCUCUGUCAUAUAAUUAUUCAUUACUAAGACUACUAAGCUAAAAAGUUCAUGAAGGUGGGGGGCAAUGGUUAAAGGAAAUUUUCAAGCACUGAUUUUCCUCUUGCUAUUGUAAUAUUACAUUUUAAAAAUUGACAUAUUUUUGGACAAGAAAUACCAUAUUUGAUGUCUAUAAUCCUAACUCAUUUUAAAACUAAAUAACCUGUUUUCUUUAAGAAAUUUUUUUUGGACAAAAAUACUUUUCAUACCUAUGCUUUUGUGCACAGAUAUUUGCUCUAAAUAUGCAAAAAAAGACAUUCUGAGACUCUGGAAUGUGAUUCCUUCCACCCCACUUUGUUAUAGUUAUAAAAAUUCUCCUCUCAUUGAGCCAUCCUACCCUCUGUCACCACC